rnacentral:rRNA from 1 species
AGAGUUUGAUCAUGGCUCAGAACGAACGCUGGCGGCGUGGAUAAGACAUGCAAGUCGAGCGAGAUUUUUUCUUGUAGCAAUACAGGGAAAAGUCGAGCGGCGAACGGGUGCUUAACACGUGGGCAACCUGCCGUGAAGUGGGGGAUAGCUCGCCGAAAGGCGAAUUAAUACCGCAUGUGAUUAGAGAGGACAUCCUUUCGAAAUUAAAGUCGGGGCAACCUGACGCUUCUUGUGGGGCCCGCGGCCUAUCAGCUAGUUGGUGAGGUAACGGCUCACCAAGGCUUUGACGGGUAGCUGGUCUGAGAGGACGACCAGCCACACUGGGACUGAGACACGGCCCAGACACCUACGGGUGGCAGCAGUCGAGAAUUUUUGACAAUGGGGGAAACCCUGAUCGAGCGACGCCGCGUGGAGGAUGAAGGUCUUCGGAUUGUAAACUCUUGUCAUUGGGGAACAAGGUGCAUACGUUAACUGCGUGUGUAUUGAUAGUACCCGAAGAGGAAGGGACGGCUAACUCUGUGCCAGCAGCCGCGGUAAUACAGAGGUCCCAAGCGUUGUUCGGAUUCAUUGGGCGUAAAGGGUGCGUAGGCGGCGCGGUAAGUCGGGUGUGAAAUCUCGGAGCUUAACUCCGAAACUGCAUUCGAUACUGCCGUGCUUGAGGACUGGAGAGGAGACUGGAAUUUACGGUGUAGCGGUGAAAUGCGUAGAUAUCGUAAGGAAGACCAGUGGCGAAGGCGGGUCUCUGGACAGUUCCUGACGCUGAGGCACGAAGGCCAGGGGAGCAAACGGGAUUAGAUACCCCAGUAGUCC